rnacentral:misc_RNA from 1 species
GCAAACUUGGUCAUUUAGAGGAAGUAAAAGUCGUAACAAGGUUUCCGUAGGUGAACCUGCGGAAGGAUCAUUAUUGUACUAGAGUCACCAACUUGGCAAAACCAAGUUGGUGAUAUUAGUACAUUUACUAUUUUUUAUUGGGUUUUUUUAAUUAAAAACCCCAAUCCUAACUCAUAAUUUUAUAAUUCCUAAAAAUUAUUUAAAAAAGAUCACUUUCAACAACGGAUCUCUUGGUUCUCGCAUCGAUGAAGAACGCAGC